AGAACAUCCUCGAACCGUUGGCUGGUCGCCAUUCUCGUAGACGAAUCGGGGGGAAAAGUCUCACACCGUCGGACAGUCAGGGGAGGCGGUCAUUAACGGCGACCAAUGGCGAGAGGGAAGAGGCCAGCAGGCGCGAGAGCUGGCUGUCAAUCAUUCCGUUGUUGUCCAAUCACCACCUGCAAGACGCGAGGCGAGUAUACUGCACCCCACGUGGGGCUCCAAGCCUCUGAUGCUAAAUGACACAGACCUUAUGAAACCCAAAUGUCAAGUGAGGCGAGGGCCUCAUAUCGAGCCCUGUCAAUCACGGCUCUCUGCACGCCUGAAGCCCCGACGACGGAUUAUUGGCUUCAGCACAAGGGCUGCCUAUGCCGCCGGCCACCGAGCCUCUGACGAUUUGACAGCACAGGCUCUUGUUUUUUUUUUUUCGGUCUUCUAAAGAGGAACUUCAUUUGGCAGCUGAUGCACAGGAGAUUGCACGGGAGAAGGUUUUUGAGACGGGAAGCAGGCUGGAUAUGAGUGUCAGUGUGUAUAUGUGUGUGUGGUGGUAAGAAGGAACCGGGCGGGCUGGCAGGUUCAGGGUAUGGUGACUAACUGUAGGCCAUUGUCAGCUAUGACUGCUUCUCAUCAACACAACAAAUCACCCCCCCCCAUACAAAUAAAAAAGAUGAACACAUUGCUCUUGUCCAGUGUGCCACACGAGGAGUUCUAUUUCAGCAAAGGUGAGCCGACUUUCAUUUCGUACAUGUCCUUAAAUGCGAGGCGAACCACAGCUGGAGUGCUGGCUGGAACAUAAAGUACAAAUGUGCAACCAUAAACCAUAGGCUGGAUUUGCACCUACAUGCUUGACAUGACCCAAUUCAACCCUCCCGCCCCCGCCCCCACCACACUUGGUCUGCAUGAGCAAAACACAUUGCACAACCCCAGUUCCUAAAUAUGCAUUCAUCCAUUUUCUAUUCCCCGUUUUGGGCUUAGUUAUUUCGCCCAAUUUGGCUUACUUUAAAGCCAGUAGUUUCAAUCGUGUGUUUAUUUUUGCUGUGUUUUACUCUGCUGUCAGCAGCCAGGCCAGCAUUGCAAGUGAGAAUCUGACCUCAAGUUUCAGGAAAAAAAAAAUGGUGAGGCAGACGUGCUGCAAAAUAUUUAUGCAGUGGUCACUUCACUUAUGAGUUGACCACUUUAAAAACUUUUUUUUUUCUUUUGCCUUGUGUUGCGAGCCAAAAUUGAAACUUGAAAGCAGGCGCGACUAAACACUCCAAAAGGUCAAAGCACCACAUCAUAAUUGUAACGUAAAUCUUGCUUUACUUAAUGGUGAGGCUUAAAUGUUUUAUGUCAUAAUGUCAAAACUCAUUGAUUCGCGCAAACCACAUCUGGUGGCACAGUUU